CCUACGGGAGGCAGCAGUGAGGAAUAUUGGUCAAUGGACGAGAGUCUGAACCAGCCAAGUAGCGUGAAGGAUGACUGCCCUAUGGGUUGUAAACUUCUUUUAUAUGGGAAUAAAAUGUUCCACGUGUGGGAUUUUGUAUGUACCCUAUGAAUAAGGAUCGGCUAACUCCGUGCCAGCAGCCGCGGUAAUACGGAGGAUCCGAGCGUUAUCCGGAUUUAUUGGGUUUAAAGGGAGCGUAGGUGGAUUGUUAAGUCAGUUGUGAAAGUUUGCGGCUCAACCGUAAAAUUGAAGUUGAAACUGGCAGUCUUGAGUACAGUAGAGGUGGGCGGAAUUCGUGGUGUAGCGGUGAAAUGCUUAGAUAUCACGAAGAACUCCGAUUGCGAAGGCAGUUCACUGGACUGCAACUGACACUGAGGCUCGAAAGUGUGGGUAUCAAACAGGAUUAGAUACCCGGGUAGUC
rnacentral:rRNA from 1 species